CCUACGGGAGGCAGCAGUGGGGAAUAUUGCGCAAUGGGCGAAAGCCUGACGCAGCGACGCCGCGUGAGGGAUGAAGGUCUUCGGAUCGUAAACCUCUGUCAGCAGGGAAGAACGGUCACUGUGCUAAUCAGCAGUGAAUUGACGGUACCUGCAAAGGAAGCACCGGCUAACUCCGUGCCAGCAGCCGCGGUAAUACGGAGGGUGCGAGCGUUAAUCGGAAUUACUGGGCGUAAAGCGCUCGUAGGCGGUAUGUCAAGUCAAGGGUGAAGUCCCCGCGCUAAACGUGGGAACUGCCUUUGAAACUGGCAAACUGGAGUGUGUGAGAGGAUAGUGGAAUUCCAGGUGUAGGAGUGAAAUCCGUAGAUAUCUGGAGGAACAUCAGUGGCGAAGGCGACUAUCUGGCACAUAACUGACGCUGAGGAGCGAAAGCGUGGGUAGCAAACAGGAUUAGAUACCCUUGUAGUC
rnacentral:rRNA from 1 species